UCCAGGGUAGCCUAGUGGACAUGGCACCUGCCCGGUAAGCAGAAGGUUGUGGGUUCGAUUCCCACCCCUGGAC